UGGGGAAUUUUGGACAAUGGGCGAAAGCCUGAUCCAGCAAUGCCGCGUGUGUGAAGAAGGCCUUCGGGUUGUAAAGCACUUUUGUCCGGAAAGAAAUCCUUGGCUCUAAUACAGUCGGGGGAUGACGGUACCGGAAGAAUAAGCACCGGCUAACUACGUGCCAGCAGCCGCGGUAAUACGUAGGGUGCAAGCGUUAAUCGGAAUUACUGGGCGUAAAGCGUGCGCAGGCGGUUUGCUAAGACCGAUGUGAAAUCCCCGGGCUCAACCUGGGAACUGCAUUGGUGACUGGCAGGCUAGAGUAUGGCAGAGGGGGGUAGAAUUCCACGUGUAGCAGUGAAAUGCGUAGAGAUGUGGAGGAAUACCGAUGGCGAAGGCAGCCCCCUGGGCCAAUACUGACGCUCAUGCACGAAAGCGUGGGGAGCAAACAGGAUUAGAUACCCUGGUAGUCCACGCCCUAAACGAUGUCAACUAGUUGUUGGGGAUUCAUUUCCUAGUAACGUAGCUAACGCGUGAAGUUGACCGCCUGGGGAGUACGGUCGCAAGAUUAAAACUCAAAUGAAUUGACGGGGUCAUAGCUGUUUCCU
rnacentral:rRNA from 1 species